UAACGCAUUUUGAAAGACGUUCCAAGUGGGAAAUGCCAUAGAUAUGAAUGCUCCGUUCCAUUUACCUCGGGAGUCGGAGUUGGAAAUGACGUCAGUCCCGGGAUGAGCCACAUGAGGUGGCUCAGGCAUCUGAUUAGGAUGCCUCCCCGGUGAGGUGUUCUGGGCACGUCCCAUCGGGAGGAGACCCCGGUGACGACCCAGGACACGCUGGAGAGACUAUGUCUCCCGGCUGGCCCGGGAACACCUCGGGAUCCCCCCAGAAGAGCUGGAUGAAGCGACUGGGGAGAGGGAAGUCUGGGCUUCCCUGCUAAAGCUACUGCCCCUGCGACCCGACCUCCGAUAAGCAGAAGAAAAUGGAUGGAUGGAUGGACGUAACGUAGUUUUCAAGAUAUUCACACACAUACACGUACACACACACAAGUUGAGAAUGUUCACGUGUGGGAAGGUCCGUUCCUCCAUCCGCUAGGCGGCAGUAUUUAGUGUGACAAAAACUAUUCAGAAGUUAAGAAACUGAUUGUUCCAGGAGCGUGUACUUAAUGUUGACAGUUGGGGCAGCCAUUUUAGAAAGCUAACUCGGGGUCGUGAGAAAUCUUCCGAGUGGGAAAGCCGACUUCAGACGGCCUUUACGCCAGCGCGCUCUAGCAGAUGGGCUGAUCAACGUGCCUACUUGGCGGCCAUAUUGGGGAGGUCGACGUUCCCGUAGAAGGCAAUGCAUGUACACUGAAAUUCAAUUUGUAAUUUGCUCAUUUCUCCACCGAUUUUUCAUUAGAGUUAUUUUUUUUGGGCCAAAGCGUAUUCGAUCACUACACAACAUUUGGGGAAAAAAGGGAAAAUUUUUACAUGUGAAAGGGACUCCCAGUUUCCUCGUCGUAAUAGUACAACGUUGUACAACUUUUACGCAACCGUAUGCAAGCACACUGUACGGGCAUCCUUGGUCUUUUGGUUAUCUUGUCGCCCACACGUAUGGAAUGUGCUGACUUUGAGCUCCCUCGCUCAGCGUCGCCGUCGGCUCGGGGCUAAAAAUGGGCGUGUAUCUAUCAACUCGAAAUUUACGACUAGGAAUUCGGAAAUUCCGACUUCCGAGUGCGUAUGGAACUAGCGGCCAUGGAGCGAAAUGACUGCACAAGAAUCAGAGGUCGAGAAGACUGGGAAGAAGCCAAAAAUCCUCCUGGAUUAUAAUGCCUGUAAAGGUGCUGUAGACCACUUGGACCAGGUUUGUUGCACCUACUCCUGCCGCCGGCGGUCAUGCAAGUGGUAUAUGUGCCUUUUUUUUAUCAUUUUAUUGACGUCUCCUGCUACAAUGCCUACGUACUCUUCACCUAAGUAGACCCUGGAUGGAACCAGAGCAAGCAAGUUCAGGCAACGACUCUUUUUGGAUGAGAUCGGGAGAGCUCUGAUCACGCCUGCUAUGGCAAACAGAAAGUAUCUCCCCAGACAAGAGACUCUUGUCUGGUCCAGCAAGCUCGCCAUCAGUAGGAGGAAGUGGAGGAUUAACAGAACGAUGACAUUGGGCAUAGGCAACACAACAAUUUGGAAUGUCCUGAAAAAUAAAUAAACUAUUGGUGUACUGAGCAACAGACAUUGAACAGGUUGGCCAAGGGUAUCAACAGCAGUUGACAGAAACAUUGUGAGAAAGAAAACCCAAAGACAACAGUCAGUGAUAUCACUGCCAACCUCCACAGGGCAGGGGCGAAGGUAUCAUAAUCCACUGUUUGAAGAAGACUUCGAGAGAAAAAAUAUAUAGGCUAUACAAGAUGCAAACCAGCAAAAAGAAUUGGAAGGCCAGGUUGGAUUUUGCAAAGAAGUUCAGCGAUGAGCCACAAUUGUUUUGGAAAAAAACUUUUUAUGGACUGAUGAGACCAAGGUUAACCCCUACCAAAUUGAUAGUGACUGCUAAUGAUCCAAAACACACAAGUUCAUCUUGUGAAGCAUGGUGGAAGUAAUGUCAUGGCUUGGGCUUGCAUGGCUGCUUCUGGAAUGGGCUCACUAGUCUUUACUGACGAUGUAACUCAUGACGGUAGAAGCAGAAUGAAUUCGGAAACCUACAAGCCCAUUUUGUCUGGCAAUUUAAAGAAAAAUGCAUCCAAACUAAUCAGGAGAAGAUUCAUCAUGCAACCAGACAAUCAUCCAAAACACACUGACAACACAACAAAUUACUUCAUCGGGUGAAAAAGUGGAAGGUCGUAGACUGGCCAAGUCACCAGACCUUAACCCAAUAGAGCAUGCAUUUUACCUCCCGAAGAGGAGACUGAAGGGACAAACCCCUACAAACAAGAACUGAAAGAGGCUGCAGUAAAGGCCUGGAAAAGCAUUUCAAAUGAAGAAUGCAACAGUCUGGUGGAGUCAAUGGGUUGCAGGCUCGAUGCAGUUAUUGCAAGUAAGGGUUAUGCCACCAAAUAUUAAAUGUUAUUCAAUUUAAGUUAAUUUGUCUGUUCCAAUAAUUUUGCACACUUGAAAAGUGGGAGGCUUCAAACAAAAGGUGCUCUGUCCUGAGUUGUUUAACACAUCUAGAUGUAAAUACCAUGAAAUAAAAGAUGGAAUUCUGAA